UGAUAGCGUAGAAGCGGAGGUUGCUGCUGCGGUUUAGCAGGUAAUUUCGUGGAGCGAAUGUCAAGUUCAGAGAAACUGACGACG
rnacentral:ncRNA from 1 species